AGGGGACAUCCCCAGGGACAGGUGACAUUGCUCUGGGACAGGUGACAUUGCCCUGGGCAGUGCCCGGAGCUGCGCGAGCCCCUGCUGAGCCACGUGCGCGCCCUCACCCCACACCAGGUGACACUGGGGACAGGUGACAUUGCCCUGGGACGGGUGACAUCACUCAGGGACAGGUGACAUCACUCAGGGACAGGUGACAUCCCCAGGGACAGGUGACAUUGCCCUGGGCAGUGCCCGGAGCUGCGCGAGCCCCUGCUGAGCCACGUGCGCGCCCUCACCCCCCACCAGGUGACACUGGGGACAGGGGACAUUGUUCUGGGACAG